rfam:Ciona savignyi cont_42575, whole genome shotgun sequence.
UACCUGGUUGAUCCUGCCAGUAAUCAUAUGCUUGUCUCAAAGAUUAAGCCAUGCAAGUCUAAGUACGAGCUCUCGUACAGUGAAACUGCGAAUGGCUCAUUAAAUCAGUUAUGGUUCAUUUGAUCGUACAGUUUACUUGGAUAACUGUGGUAAUUCUAGAGCUAAUACAUGCGAGAAGCGCCGACCUCGCGGGAGGCGUGCAUUUAUCAAACCAAAAACCGGCCGCGUCUUCGGGCGCGUUCGCCUUGGUGACUCUGGAUAACUUUGCGGAUCGCACGGUCUAGCACCGGCGACGGAUCAUUCAAGUGUCUGCCCUAUCAACUUUCGUCGGUACGGUAUUUGCCUACCGAGGAUCUUACGGGUGACGGGGAAUCAGGGUUCGAUUCCGGAGAGGGAGCCUGAGAAACGGCUACCACAUCCAAGGAAGGCAGCAGGCGCGCAAAUUACCCAUUCCCGACGCGGGGAGGUAGUGACGAAAAAUAACAAUGCAGGACUCGUUCGAGGCCCUGUAAUUGGAAUGAGUACACUUCUAAAAGCUUUAACGAGUAUCCAUUGGAGGGCAAGUCUGGUGCCAGCAGCCGCGGUAAUUCCAGCUCCAAAAGUAUAUAUUUAAGUUGUUGCGGUUAAAAAGCUCGUAGUUGGAUUUUGGGCGCAGGCGGCCGGUCCGUCGCAAGGCGUGUACUGGACGUCCUGGCCUUCCCUCCGGUUCUCCGCCGGUGCUCUUGACUGAGUGUCGGCGGCGGCCGGAACGUUUACUUUGAAAAAAUUAGAGUGUUCAAAGCAGGCUCUCGAGCCUGGAUAAUGGUGCAUGGAAUAAUGGAAUAGGACCUCGGUUCUAUUUUGUUGGUUUUCGGAGCGCGAGGUAAUGAUUAAGAGGGACAGACGGGGGCAUUCGUACUGUGCCGUUAGAGGUGAAAUUCUUGGAUCGGCGCAAGACGAACGACUGCGAAAGCAUUUGCCAAGAAUGUUUUCUUUAAUCAAGAGCGAAAGUCAGAGGUUCGAAGACGAUCAGAUACCGUCCUAGUUCUGACUAUAAACGAUGCCAACUAGCGAUCGGGGGGGCGUUACAUUGACGACCCCUCCGGCAGCUUACGGGAAACCAAAGUCUUUGGGUUCCCGGGGGAAGUAUGGUUGCAAAGCUGAAACUUAAAGGAAUUGAC